UACGUACGGUGCGAGCGUUAAUCGGAAUUACUGGGCGUAAAGCGUGCGCAGGCGGCUUUGCAAGACAGAUGUGAAAUCCCCGGGCUCAACCUGGGAACUGCAUUUGUGACUGCAAGGCUAGAGUACGGCAGAGGGGGAUGGAAUUCCGCGUGUAGCAGUGAAAUGCGUAGAUAUGCGGAGGAACACCAAUGGCGAAGGCAAUCCCCUGGGCCUGUACUGACGCUCAUGCACGAAAGCGUGGGGAGCAAACAGG
rnacentral:rRNA from 1 species